AGUGAACGUUGGCGGCGUGGAUUAGGCAUGCAAGUCGAGCGAGAACCGUAGCAAUACGGGGAUAGCGGCGAAAGGGACAGUAAUGUGUAGGUACCUACCUCCGGGUUCGGGAUAGCUGCGGGAAACUGCAGGUAAUACCGAACAACGUCUCCGGACCAAAGGUGUGAUUCCACCUAGAGAGGGGCCUGCAUCCUAUUAGCUUGUUGGCGGGGUAACGGCCCACCAAGGCGACGAUGGGUAGCGGGUGUGAGAGCACGACCCGCGUCAUUGGGACUGAGACACGGCCCAGACACCUACGGGUGGCUGCAGUCGAGGAUCUUCGGCAAUGGGCGAAAGCCUGACCGAGCGACGCCGCGUGCGGGAUGAAGGCCUUCGGGUUGUAAACCGCUGUCGUAGAGGAGGAAGUGCAGGGGGGUUCUCCCUUCUGUUUGACCUAUUCUAGGAGGAAGGACGGGCUAAGUUCGUGCCAGCAGCCGCCGUAA
rnacentral:rRNA from 1 species